UACCACACUCAGAGCAGCUAAAAGGCUUCUCUCCUGUGUGGAUUCUCAUGUGUGCCCGUAAACUUCCCCUCUGUGUAAAAGAUUUCUUACAGACUGAGCAGCUGAAAGGCUUCUCUCCUGUGUGGAUUCUCAUGUGUUUCUGUAAACUUCCACUCUGUGUAAAAUAUUUCUUACAGACUGAGCAUCUGAAAGGUUUUUCUCCUGUGUGGAUUCUCAUGUGUUUCUGUAAAUCUCCUCUCCGUGAAAAAUAUUUCUUACAGACUGAGCAGUUGAAAGGUUUUUCUCCAGAAUGAGUCAUCAUGUGGUUCUUCAGGUUUCCACUGUCAGAGAAAGCUCUACCACACUCAGAGCAGCUAAAAGGCUUCUCUCCUGUGUGGAUUCUCAUGUGUUUCU